rnacentral:rRNA from 1 species
AUUGAACGCUGGCGGCAGGCUUAACACAUGCAAGUCGAGCGGGGGAAGGUAGCUUGCUACCGGACCUAGCGGCGGACCGGUGAGUAAUGCUUAGGAAUCUGCCUAUUAGUGGGGGACAACAUCUCGAAAGGGAUGCUAAUACCGCAUACGUCCUACGGGAGAAAGCAGGGGAUCUUCGGACCUUGCGCUAAUAGAUGAGCCUAAGUCGGACUAGCUAGUUGGUGGGGUAAAGGCCUACCAAGGCGACGAUCUGUAGCGGGUCUGAGAGGAUGAUCCGCCACACUGGGACUGAGACACGGCCCAGACUCCUACGGGAGGCAGCAGUGGGGAAUAUUGGACAAUGGGGGGAACCCUGAUCCAGCCAUGCCGCGUGUGUGAAGAAGGCCUAUGGUUGUAAAGCACUUUAAGCGAGGAGGAGGCUACUCUAGUUAAUACCUAGGGAUAGUGGACGUUACUCGCAGAAUAAGCACCGGCUAACUCUGUGCCAGCCGCCGCGGUAA